UUUCUGAAAAUGUUCGUAUUU
rnacentral:piRNA from 1 species